rnacentral:lncRNA from 10 species
UCUCACUGUGUUGUCCAGACUUGUCCCAAACUCCUGGGCUCAAGUGAUCCUCCCCCUGUGACCUCCUAAAGUGCUGGGAUUAGAGGUGUGAGCCACCACACUAGGCCAAUGUGCUUCCCUUUAAAAGGUGGAGCUUAAUUUAUCUCCCCUUGAGCUAUGUGACUUGCUUCUAACAAACAGAAUAAGAUAGAAGAGACAGUGUGUGAUUUCAGAGACUAGGUCAUAUAGAGCAUGUAGCCUCUUCCUUUCUCUCACUUUUGAAUCACUUUCAUUCUGGAAAAAGCCAGCUGCCAUGUUGUAAGGACACUCAAGCUGCUCUAUGGAGAGGUCCACAUGGUGAGGAACUGAGGCCUCUGGCCAACAGCCACGUGAGUGUGCCAUCUUGGGAAAGGAUCUGCCAGCCCCAGUCAAGCCUUCAGAUACCUGCCACCCUGCCCAGCAUCUUGACUGCAACCUCAUGAAAGACCUUGAGCCAGAACCUUCCAGGAAUCAUAAAUCCGGUUCUGAUUAUCGCCACACACACAGAUCCUUCUCAAAGAUUCAGAGUCUUAUUCUUUUAUCUCUUCCCUAAAAUACGAUCUAAUUUACAAAACUUUGACUUACAACUCCGCCAGAAGCCCAGCUGGCGUGUGAAGUGAUGCACUCUGCAGCCGGCAGCACUGAAAAGCACCGGCCUCCCGGGAACCCAGCAAGGACCGUGAUCUUCAGUUAUUUUGUGCAAUAAAGAAAUUUUGUAAAACGAGUAACAC